rnacentral:rRNA from 1 species
CACGUAGGCGGCUUGGUAUGUCGGGUGUGAAAUCCCCGGGCUCAACCUGGGAACUGCAUCCGAAACUGCCUUGCUAGAGUAUGGGAGAGGGAAGUGGAAUUUCCGGUGUAGCGGUGAAAUGCGUAGAUAUCGGAAGGAACAUCAGUGGCGAAGGCGACUUCCUGGACCAAUACUGACGCUCAGGUGCGAAAGCGUGGGGAGCAAACA